AGAGUUUGAUCCUGGCUCAGAAUGAACGCUGGCGGCGUGCUUAACACAUGCAAGUCGCACGAGAACGUUUCAGCUUGCUGAAACUAGUAAAGUGGCGUACGGGUGAGUAACGCGUGGGUAAUCUACCUCCGAAUUGGGGAUAACAUUGCGAAAGUGAUGCUAAUACCGAAUGACAUCUCAAGAGCUUCGGCUCUGGAGAUCAAAGGUGGCCUCUCCUUGGAAGCUACUGUUUGGAGAUGAGUCCGCGUACCAUUAGCUUGUUGGUAGGGUAAUGGCCUACCAAGGCCGCGAUGGUUAGCUGGUCUGAGAGGAUGAUCAGCCACACUGGAACUGACACACGGUCCAGACUCCUACGGGAGGCAGCAGUGAGGAAUUUUGCGCAAUGGGGGAAACCCUGACGCAGCAACGCCGCGUGAGUGAUGAAGGCUUUCGGGUCGUAAAGCUCUGUCAAGUGGGAAGAGCCUGCCCUUUGCUAAUAUCAUUGGGCACUGACGGUACCACUGAAGGAAGCACCGGCUAACUCCGUGCCAGCAGCCGCGGUAACACGGGGGGUGCAAGCGUUAUUCGGAAUUACUGGGCGUAAAGAGCGCGUAGGCGGUUUCUAAAGUCAGAUGUGAAAGCCCGGGGCUCAACCCCGGAAGUGCAUUUGAAACUUAGGGACUUGAGUAUGGGAGAGGGAAGUGGAAUUCCUGGUGUAGCGGUGAAAUGCGUAGAUAUCAGGAGGAACACCGGUGGCGAAGGCGACUUCCUGGACCAAUACUGACGCUGAGGCGCGAAGGCGUGGGGAGCAAACAGGAUUAGAUACCCUGGUAGUCCACGCAGUAAACGUUGAACACUAGGUGUAGCGGGUAUUGACCCCUGCUGUGCCGCAGCUAACGCAUGAAGUGUUCCGCCUGGGGAGUACGGCCGCAAGGCUAAAACUCAAAGGAAUUGACGGGGGCCCGCACAAGCGGUGGAGCAUGUGGUUUAAUUCGACGCAACGCGAAGAACCUUACCUGGGUCUGACAUUCCCGGGAAUUUGUGGAAACGCAAAAGUGCCCUUCGGGGAGCUCGGAGACAGGUGCUGCAUGGCUGUCGU
rnacentral:rRNA from 1 species